rnacentral:rRNA from 1 species
GAUGAACGCUAGCGGCAGGCCUAACACAUGCAAGUCGAGGGAGAAGCCUUCGGGCUGAAACCGGCGCACGGGUGCGUAACGCGUAUACAAUCUGCCUUUCACAUAGGGAUAGCCCGAAGAAAUUUGGAUUAAUACCUAAUGGUAUAUAGGAGCGGCAUCGUUUUUAUAUUAAAGCUACGGUGGUGAAAGAUGAGUAUGCGUUCUAUUAGCUAGUUGGAGAGGUAACGGCUCCCCAAGGCGACGAUAGAUAGGGGUUCUGAGAGGGAUGUCCCCCACACUGGUACUGAGAUACGGACCAGACUCCUACGGGAGGCAGCAGUGAGGAAUAUUGGACAAUGGUCGGAAGACUGAUCCAGCCAUGCCGCGUGCAGGAUGAAGGUCCUAUGGAUUGUAAACUGCUUUUGUAAGGGAAGAAUAAGGAGUACGUGUACUUGAU